UACGUAGGGCGCGAGCGUUGUCCGGAAUUAUUGGGCGUAAAGAGCUCGUAGGCGGUCUGUUACGUCGGCUGUGAAAACCUGGGGCUCAACUCCGGGCCUGCAGCCGAUACGGGCAGACUAGAGUUCGGCAGGGGAGACUGGAAUUCCUGGUGUAGCGGUGAAAUGCGCAGAUAUCAGGAGGAACACCUGCGGUGUAGACGGCUUUCUGGACCAUUGCUGACGCUGAGACACGAAAGCGUGGGUAGCAAACAGG
rnacentral:rRNA from 1 species